rnacentral:rRNA from 1 species
UACGUAGGGAGCAAGCGUUGUCCGGAAUCAUUGGGCGUAAAGCGCGCGUAGGCGGCCCGGUAAGUCCGUUGUGAAAGUCAAAGGCUCAACCUUUGAAAGCCGAUGGAUACUGCCGGGCUAGAGUCCGGAAGACGGCGAGUGGAAUUCCUGGUGUAGCGGUGGAAUGCGGCAGAUAUCAGGAGGAACACCCAUAGCGAAGGCAGCUCGCUGGGACGGUACUGACGCUGAGG